rnacentral:tRNA from 1 species
GGGAAGAUAGCGAAGUGGCUAAACGCGGCAGACUGUAAAUCUGCUCCUUCGGGUUCGGUGGUUCGAAUCCACCUCUUCCCACCA